GUUUGAAUGAGACGCCGCCACGACUUGGCGUGCGCGCGCGCUCCUGCAUGGAGAAAGACGCGCACGCAACUAACGGGUUCAGGAAUGGAAUCAUGCCAGGAGAAUUCUGAGUGCUUGUGAGAACACUCCAAGAAAAGAUAAGAGUCUUGUGACUUCUAUUUCAUCAAAACAUGGAAUUGUUUUUGGAAUGUGUUUUUGUAGUCCUGUGUUUCUCCCAGAUGUAGCAGCUUGGAGUGAAUUUGCUUCAGAUUACCCCUAUUGGUUGCUGAUGUUACUCAAAUGUUUAAACUGUCUUUUAUAUGCCUCUAUGGAGAACAGGUUUAAA
rnacentral:lncRNA from 1 species